UUGCGUAUAAAGAGUUGCACGUGCCGGCAGAAGUCCUUGGACAUUAAUGAUGUCUCAGCCUUUAUACUCGGCAGUUCCAGAAAGCAGCACAUUUCUGUAGGUAGGGGAAUUUGUUAGGUCAUUGAUACUGAGGGAAAGGGGGAUAAAAAAAAUCCAUGAUGGCCGCUUCAUAUCUUUUUUGUUAAUUAUUUUUUUAUUUCUUUUGGACUUCCCAGCCGGCUGUUAAUGAACUUAGAAAAAAAAAUAUAAAAUUGUUUACCUACACCCCGGCUGGAAUAACAUAAAAACUGUUCCUUUUGCAGCCCUAUCCUUUACCUCUUUAAAUAAAAACGAGAGGCAGCCAACUGACGACAGAACAGUUCGUCUCCCACCUGUGGCUGCGUUAUUGAUUACAGAUAGUGCACGGCAAAUCGUCUUUGAAAUUCAAAUAGGACGACACGUUUCUUGGAUUUUUUUUUAGUUACGUAACAAUUUUCGAGUAACACUUUUUGUUUAGUGCUUCAUUGAUGACCAACGUGAGUGUCAUCAUCAUAAUACUUCAAUUUGCUGGAACGAGAACAAUUUGCUGCUAUCGCACAGACAACCGGAUCAACUCAGUGCCUAGCACUGAAUUUUUUCCAGGUUUACCUUCGUUCAAAACCCAGCUGUAGCAGACGGCUCAUCUAUCCCCUUACCCCUUUUUAUGUCUGUACCCCGAGGCCCGUAUGUAGACCGACUAGAGGGCGUAAGUGGCCCAUGGAGAAAUUGGGUGGCCCAUAGCAGACGGGGUGUGAUUGUCGUGGUGUGCGUACUGACGUACUGUGUGAAUGUCAUCUCGUCUCACGUGUGUGAGACUGGUCCUAAGGGAGGGCUGUGCUGUUUGUGCUGGCUACCCCCGCGUAAGUGUUAAAUAUAUUUGUGUAAACCCUA
rnacentral:lncRNA from 1 species